GAAGUGACUGUCAACUGCUGAAAAAGUGAGGUGCUACCUGCUCCAGGCCCGUUUAGAAGAAUCCUGGGCAUCAGGAAUCGAAUGAUCCAUGGGCUAAAUCUUCUCUUCUUCCCCCAGAAGCCACAGGUGAACACCAUAUGCUUUCAUAUAACUGCCCUCUGACCCCACAAGAUCUCUUCCACCACACAGCCUUCCUACAAAAGCAGCAACCAACCAUUUCUUCUAUGCUGGCUCCUUGUGAAUAUUGUUGCUAAGGCCUGGCUGAGACAUUUGGCGAUCUGCACACACUCAACCUUGGAGAAUUUGUGAGGUUGUAACAAAAUCAUGGGAUGCAGGUGGCACUGUGGGUUAAACCACAGAGCCUAGGACUUGCCGAUCAGAAGGUCGGCAGUUCGAAUCUCCGCAACAGGGUGAGCUCCCGUUGCUCAGUCCCUGCUCCUGCCAACCUAGCAGUUCGAAAGCAUGUCAAAGUGCAAGUAGAUAAAUAGGUACUGCUCCAGCGGGAAGGUAAACAGCGUUUCCGUGCGCUGCUCUGGUUCACCAGAAGCAGCUUAGUCAUGCUGGCCACAUGACCUGGAAGGUGUACACUAACUCCCUUGGCCAGUAAAGCAAGAUGAGUGCCGCAACCCCAGAGUCGGUCACGACUGGACCUAAUGGUCAGGGGUCCCUUUACCUUUUUUAACAAUAUCAUAGAAUUGCAGAGUUGGAAGGGGCCCUGAGCAUCAUCUAGUCCAACCUCCUGCAAUGCAGGUAAAGGUAAAAGGUAAAGAACCCCUGGAUAGCUAAGUCCAGUCAAAGAUGACUCUAGGGUUGCAGUGCUCAUCUCGCUUUCAGGCCAAGGGAGCCAGCGUUUGUCCACAGACAGCUUUCUGGGUCAUGUGGCCAGCAGGACUAAACCGCUUCUGGAGCAAUGGAGCACUGUGACAGAAACCAGAGCACAUGGAAACGCUGUUUACCUUCUCGCCACAGCAGUACCUAUUUAUCUACUUGCACUGGUGUGCUUUCAAACUGUGGAAGCUGGGACCGAGCAAUGGGAGCUCACCCCGUCACGGGGAUUGGAACUGCUGAAUUUCCAAAUGUCAAGCCCAAGAGGCUCAGUGGUUUAGACCACAGCGCCACCCGCGUCUCAUAUGGGGAUCAAACCUGCAACCUUGGCAUUAUCAGCACCAAUGUUCUAACCAACUGAUCUAGCCAGGUGCUUUAGGUGCCAACUAUAUGAACCAAUGUCUCAGCAUGCAGGCCUUCUCAUUGCAAAUCGCUGCAAGAUAAAGGUGGUAGAUAACAAACUAAUAAUAAAUAAAUAAAACAUGGGGCUACAAAAGGGGGUAUCCUUAACCAAAACUGCAAAAAGCAAAGGACGGAGAAGUUAUGGAAACAAUUAUUAAUUCAGAAACACAUGUUUAAUUUAAACAAAACCCCACGCCAAGCUGACUAAAGGUGUGCCACAUAUAAUAUUGUUGCAUGGAGGUUCCCUCAUUGUGAGAAGCGAGGUUACAGGGAACCAGGCAGAGGGCCUUCUCGGUAGUGGCACCCUCCCUGUGGAACGCCCUCCCGCCAGAUGCCAAACACAUAAACAACUAUUUGAUUUUACAAGACAUUUUUAUAAAGUAAACAAAAUUUAAAAGUAUACAGUGUGAAAUACUAAGCUUUUUGUCUGCCCUCAAACUGCCACCAUUCAUUUCAUUGGGUGAGCCCAGGUUGCAGUACGAUAAAUGGGAGAGAGAAAGUGUGUGUGUGUGUGUGUGUGUGUGUGUGUGUGUGUAAAGAUUGUGCUGCUGGUAUCCAUAUAUUGCUAAAAGUGUGGAAGGUGCCAGUAAAAUGGGCAGCAAAAAGAAGAGGAGCUGGUACUAUGUACCACUGAGUAUUGCCACAAACUCACCCUCAGCCCUGCACAUAAAGCCAUUAUAUUAUCAAAAAUUUGUUCCAUUGUACUUUUUAUUUUUUUAAAAUAAACAUGUCUCCCGGGUGUGAAAAACAAAACACUCACAUUCAGCUUUUCUGCUGAUUAAAGAAGUGUGAGCUUAAUAACUCUGCCUUGUAAACAAGUAAUUAGUACUACUUGUAAACAGUACUAAUUUGUAAAGAAGUAAUUACCGUAUUUUCCCGUGUAUAACAUGCCCCCGUGAAUAAGACUACCCCUAUUUUGGGGGACUCAAAUUUAAGAAAAUGGGGGGAGAUGGCCCGGAGUUGUUGAGCUGACAAGCUCCUGCUCACAGCUGCAACCAAUCACAUGUCCCCCACAUGCACUACCUGUGUAUAAGAUGACCCAAGUUUUUAAACAUUUUACAGUAAAAAAUACUUGUCUUAUACACAGAAAAGUACGGUAAUAUAUAAAAAUUGUGUGUGUGUGUGUGUGUGUGUGUGCGCAUGUGCAACACCAAUGACGUACUUUUUUUUUGCAGGCAUUUUGCAGCUCCUUUCCCCAUCAAAUUUUGACUGAGCUGGAAGUAGGGUACGAGAGGAGGCACUUAGAAGAGGCUGGGGCGGCAGCCAGGAUGAAUGUGAGGAAAAACAUAAACACACUUGGGUUUUAUUACAGAUUGUGAGGAAUCAGGAGUUACAGCAGAAACUGUGAAUUUUGAACCGGAAGGAGGAGAAAGAACUCUGGG